CUGUGAUGCCCACCUAGAAGGUUCCACCCCUCGAAGAUUUUUCCCUUUUUUUUCCUUCAAGUAAAUGAACCUCUCCCUUAUAAACUCAAUUUCACUGCAGGAGCGACCAAUUAACUUGAUUUAGAAAGCGAAACCAAGGAGAGACGUGAGAGUCACACCAGAGAGAGACUAAGUGGAAAGGUAGAAGCGAUCCGGACCGACAUCCUGUACUUACAGGGAGCUCCGGUAUGAAGGGCCAAGGCGAAGGCUCUGGAGGAUCCUUGAUUCCAUCAGUUUCACUCAUGGCUAUGAGGAGUAUAUAAAAGGACUGGAGAAAAAGCAAAGAAAAAGUGUUCAAGAAAUUAAAGAAAAACAGCCAUGUGUGUCCCAGCAGCUACUUCGCUCCUGUUAACCUGUGAACUACCUGUAGGUUUGGGAUGUGUCUCUUACAUCCCAUAGAUCUCUCAUGUGCUUAGCGCUUGCUCACUGUAGAUAUUUCAUUAAAUACCUAUUGAUUGAUA